UCUCCUUGUUGAGGAAGCUAUGGAACCCUACAAAAUUCAAGACAUGUUUUGAUAUUCAAACCAACCUUUCCUCUCAUAAUCAACAGUCAAAAACUUUUCUUCUUAAUCCUUUUUCCAACAUCUUCUUCCCUAUAAUUUUCAAUCUUGGAGGUCCAUUUGGUUCAUGGAUAUUGAUCUCCUAAGUCACUUGUGGGGCUUCUUCAGCUAAAAAAGGACGAGCCCUGUUGGAGGUUAAUCCCACAAACAAGCAAUCCACCAUGAAAAUUCAUCAAGAUCAAACUCAUUUUAUCCCCACUACUACUACUACCUCUACUGCUAGUACUCCUGCAAGAGCUGCAACUGGAAGUGAUGUUCCUACUGUUACUGCUAGUAAAGAUCGACAAUUUCGGAUGGCUGCUCAUAAUGUUCCAAGCGGACCAAAUCCUGAGUCCAACAAAUGAUGAAUAAGGACUACAUAUUCGCUGCAUGCAGAUCUUCAUCACCAUAUUAUAAGUAUGGAUAUCCCACUACUCCUUAUCUAUUAAUGCUACAAAAGGUGUUGUUAUCAAAAUUAAUAUGUUUAUUAGGCUUUUUCCUUGCUUUUUCUUUCUUCAUGUUUCAUUUCCAGUGUAAAUAAAUAAAGGGAACCUUGCUAAUACUAAUAGAUGCAAUUAUGAAUGUAUGUCUCAUACUCUGCACAUUGAUGAUGAUUAUUUCUA